rnacentral:rRNA from 1 species
CCUACGGGCGGCAGCAGUGAGGAAUAUUGGUCAAUGGGCGCGAGCCUGAACCAGCCAAGUCGCGUGAGGGAAGACGGUCCUAUGGAUUGUAAACCUCUUUUGUCGGGGAGCAAAAGACGCCACGUGUGGCGUUCCGAGAGUACCCGAAGAAAAAGCAUCGGCUAACUCCGUGCCAGCAGCCGCGGUAAUACGGAGGAUGCGAGCGUUAUCCGGUUUUAUUGGGUUUAAAGGGUGCGCAGGCGGAACAUCAAGUGAGCGGUAAAAUUGAGAGGCUCAACCUCUUCGAGCCGUUGAAACUGGUUUGCUUGAGUGAGUGAGAAGUAUGCGGAAUGCGUGGUGUAGCGGUGAAAUGCAUAGAUAUCACGAAGAACUCCGAUUGCGAAGGCAGCAUACCGGCGCUCAACUGACGCUCAUGCACGAAAGUGUGGGUAUCGAACAGGAUUAGAUACCCGGGUAGUC